rnacentral:rRNA from 1 species
GGCGCCAGCGCGGCUAACUGCAGUCGAGCGGACAGAUGGGAGCUUGCUCCCUGAUGUUAGCGGCGGACGGGUGAGUAACACGUGGGUAACCUGCCUGUAAGACUGGGAUAACUCCGGGAAACCGGGGCUAAUACCGGAUGCUUGUUUGAACCGCAUGGUUCAAACAUAAAAGGUGGCUUCGGCUACCACUUACAGAUGGACCCGCGGCGCAUUAGCUAGUUGGUGAGGUAAUGGCUCACCAAGGCAACGAUGCGUAGCCGACCUGAGAGGGUGAUCGGCCACACUGGGACUGAGACACGGCCCAGACUCCUACGGGAGGCAGCAGUAGGGAAUCUUCCGCAAUGGACGAAAGUCUGACGGAGCAACGCCGCGUGAGUGAUGAAGGUUUUCGGAUCGUAAAGCUCUGUUGUUAGGGAAGAACAAGUGCCGUUCAAAUAGGGCGGCACCUUGACGGUACCUAACCAGAAAGCCACGGCUAACUACGUGCCAGCAGCCGCGGNUAAUACGA